AGCAUGUGGUUUAAUUUGACUCAACGCGGGAAAUCUUACCGGGUCCGGACACACUGAGGAUUGACAGGCAAUAUCUCAUGGUUAUUAACCCGGUUAUUACAUUUUGUUUAAUCGGUUAUUAAGCAUCGAGUGUUAAAUAUGCUAGUCCUUUCAUGAUUAUGUGAUAGGUGGUGCAUGGCCGUUCUUAGUUCGUGGAGUGAUCUGUCUGCUUAAUUGCGUUUCACUAAGGGCCCAUAAAUUCAAGGUAUGUUAGCUAUCGUCGCUCUAUGGACCCCUUAUACUCGAUUUCGCUUUAAUUAGCGUUAUUUGUUUAAUAAGCGCGCGUCUUUAUUUAAAGAGUUUAAGACACUGCGCAUGCUGUGGGCUCUGAAAGCAACGAACGUGACCGCAACGUCUUGU
rnacentral:rRNA from 1 species